UACGGAGGGGACUAGCGUUGUUCGGAAUUACUGGGCGUAAAGCGCACGUAGGCGGAUUUUGUAAGUCAGGGGUGAAAUCCCGGGGCUCAACCUCGGAACUGCCUUUUGAUACUGCAAAUCUCGAGUCCGGAAGAGGUGAGUGGAAUUCCUAGUGUAGAGGUGAAAUUCGUAGAUAUUAGGAAGAACACCAGUGGCGAAGGCGGCUCACUGGUCCGGUACUGACGCUGAGGUGCGAAAGCGUGGGGAGCGAACAGG
rnacentral:rRNA from 1 species